rnacentral:rRNA from 1 species
GGGUGCUCGAGUGGCGAACGGGUGAGUAACACGUGAGUAACCUGCCCUUGACUUUGGGAUAACUUCAGGAAACUGGGGCUAAUACCGGAUAGGAGCUCCUGCUGCAUGGUGGGGGUUGGAAAGUUUCGGCGGUUGGGGAUGGACUCGCGGCUUAUCAGCUUGUUGGUGGGGUAGUGGCUUACCAAGGCUUUGACGGGUAGCCGGCCUGAGAGGGUGACCGGCCACAUUGGGACUGAGAUACGGCCCAGACUCCUACGGGAGGCAGCAGUGGGGAAUAUUGCACAAUGGGCGGAAGCCUGAUGCAGCAACGCCGCGUGCGGGAUGACGGCCUUCGGGUUGUAAACCGCUUUCGCCUGUGACGAAGCGUGAGUGACGGUAAUGGGUAAAGAAGCACCGGCUAACUACGUGCCAGCAGCCGCGGUGAUACGUAGGGUGCGAGCGUUGUCCGGAUUUAUUGGGCGUAAAGGGCUCGUAGGUGGUUGAUCGCGUCGGAAGUGUAAUCUUGGGGCUUAACCCUGAGCGUGCUUUCGAUACGGGUUGACUUGAGGAAGGUAGGG